AGUGAACGCUGGCGGCAGGCCUAACACAUGCAAGUCGAGCGGCAGCGCGGGGGCAACCCUGGCGGCGAGCGGCGGACGGGUGAGGAAUUCGUCGGAAUCUGCCUUUUUGUGGGGGAUAACGUAGGGAAACUUACGCUAAUACCGCAUACGUCCUACGGGAGAAAGUGGGGGACCGCAAGGCCUCACGCAGAAAGAUGAGCCGACGACCGAUUAGCUAGUUGGUGGGGUAAAGGCCCACCAAGGCGACGAUCGGUAGCUGGUCUGAGAGGAUGAUCAGCCACACUGGGACUGAGACACGGCCCAGACUCCUACGGGAGGCAGCAGUGGGGAAUAUUGGACAAUGGGCGCAAGCCUGAUCCAGCCAUGCCGCAUGUGUGAAGAAGGCCUUCGGGUUGUAAAGCACUUUUGUCCGGAAAGAAAUCCCUGGAGCUAAUACCUUCGGGGGAUGACGGUACCGGAAGAAUAAGCACCGGCUAACUUCGUG
rnacentral:rRNA from 1 species